rnacentral:tRNA from 1 species
ACUUAUUUAGUAUAUAAAGUAUAACUGACUUCCAAUUAGUAGGACUGUGUAAACAGAUUAAGUA